rnacentral:rRNA from 1 species
AUUGAACGCUGGCGGCAUGCCUUACACAUGCAAGUCGAACGGUAGAGGGCUUCGGCCCUUGAGAGUGGCGAACGGGUGAGUAAAGCAUCGGAACGUACCCUGUCGAGGGGGAUAACGUAGCGAAAGUUACGCUAAUACCGCAUAAGACCUGAGGGUGAAAGUGGGGGACUGGAAACGGCCUCACGCGAUGGGAGCGGCCGAUGUCGGAUUAGCUAGUUGGUGGGGUAAAGGCCUACCAAGGCGACGAUCCGUAGCGGGUCUGAGAGGAUGAUCCGCCACACUGGGACUGAGACACGGCCCAGACUCCUACGGGAGGCAGCAGUGGGGAAUUUUGGACAAUGGGCGCAAGCCUGAUCCAGCCAUGCCGCGUGGGGUGAAGAAGGCC